GCCUACGCACAGACAUUCACUGGAGUCUGGUUUGAUGGUAAGCACCCAGGCUCUAGAUCCAAAUUGCCUGGGUUUGCAUCCGGUCUCUGUUCUUUACCGUUGUGUAUGGUAGGUGAGUCUUGACGUCCCCAUCUGAAAAAUGGAACUAAAAGAUCGCACAGUGUUUUGUCAAAAUUUAAAUGAUAUCAUCCAAGUAAGCCGUAGAAUCAGGCCAAUCUUCUCUACCUCUUAGACCUAGAAUUUCCUACUUCAAAAACAAUCUUGUGUUUCCUGCUGUGGUGCAAUGGGAUUGGCGGCAUCUCUGCAGCAUCAGGACGCUGGCUUCAUCCCUGGCCCAGCGCAGUGGGUUCAGGAUACAACAUUGCCACAGCUGUGACUUGGAUCUGAUCCCUGGCUCAGGAAUCCAUCCCUAUGUUGCAGGUGUCGCCAAAAAAGAAAAAAAAAUUCUUCAGCGAAGGCUACGUGGAAUAAAGACUUUAAAAGAGAGUGGGAAACCACCUAGUCCAAGAUAAGGAAAAUAAAGUCCAGAAGGAUUAAAAUCCCUGCCUAAGAUUAUACUGUUAUUAGUAAAAGUCAAAAGCCAAAACCCAGCUCUUCUGGUUUUCAUCCCUCCACACGGGCUCCAGGGACAAGGAACAUGCUAAGGAGGCAGGUGGCCAUCCUCCGGCGAUACCCAUGGGUACUUACUCUUGCCUUCCAGCUUGUCUCCAUCUCGCCUACAUCACUAUUCUUAGCACAUUUUUUUAAUUGUCAGCAGUUUCAUAUUUUUCGAGCACAUUGUUGUAAGCUUUGAUUGUGCCUAAAGCAUAUCAAGUUUGAAGUCAGCAGCUCUCUGACCAUAAUUAGGCAUUUAAUUAUUAUUGCUGUAAAAUGUGCUUUUCUGUUUGAAUAGAGACGAAACACAUCAGUCUCCAUGCUGCGAAAGGGUGUGUGCACACCCAUUCUUUCUUCUAUGUCUGACCUUUGAGAUGAGACCAUCGUGUUACUUCCUAAAUACGUUUUCUAGUCAUUCUGUUUCUAAUACUGGCUUGUUAGCAAAGUUACCCUAUGAGACCAUAACCUACUUUAGGGGAGAAAAGGGGGGACAUUUACAAACUCUGUCAUAUUUCUUGAUUUUUCUUCGUUGGCACAUGGAUUUUAAUUGUCACAAGUUGUUUCAGAGAAUUGAAAGAAUUAGCAAUACCUUUGUCGCUCUUACUUCCUGCCCGCUCUCUCCUUCCUGCUUUGGUGAAUGGCUUAAGGACAAAGUACGUGCUUCGCUAGAAAACAGUUUUUUCGGUACAAUAAUUUGUGCCUUAUAUCAUAUUAUAGUGGUGAGUGUAAAUUUAUCUUUGAACCAUGUUUUAUUAACUUUUUCCCCCAUAGAGUUACAUCAAAAGAGUCUAUAAAUAAGUGAUGCGCUCAGCCUGCUAGUUCUUACAUGCAUACCAAUUACUUCUAUUGGUUUCAAAACACGUAGUCAGUACUUUAAACAACCAUGAUAAUAUCACAAACUGAAAUAUUCAACAUCUCCAUCUCAGUAUGCUGUCACCAUGCAGACAACGAUUAGAAUUGGUAAUCAGUUUCACUGCUGGUAAGUUGAGUGGCACAAUGCAUUUUAUAUCCACGCUAUGUCAAACUCAAUUAACAUUCUAACAGUGUAUUUCAAAGACACUCACCUAAUCUCAGAGAACAAUGCAUUUAUUUAUUUCAUGUUAAAAGCUCUUACAUUUUAUGAAGUGUUCUUGAAGCAAAGAUAUUUAUUGUCACAAUAAUAUUUAAGUUGGAGCUUCUGAAGAAUUGUUAAGAAAAAAAAAAAAACCUUCAUUUAAAAAAUCCUACUGUAGGUAAUUUAGCACAUCAUGACUGUGGAAGAAGAACUUCACAAGCUAUAUACAAUUUCAGAAUUUUUAAAUUAUGUAAAGAUCCUAUCUCCUUACAAAUAACACAUUUCAAAUAAGCCUAAAGUACAUGAUUUUUUUGUAUAUUCCUCCAAAAUACACUGGAAAUGAAAUCGUACAAGAGUAAAUUUUUAGCAGGUAUGUACAUUUACCAACUUGUUUAUUUAUAUGCCAGAGUGUCAUCUGCAAUCACUAAUGCAUAGACCAGGUACGGAAUAGGAUUCAUAUAUGAAAUGAAAAACUAUGCAGUGUUCUAUAAUACACAUAUGUAGGUACAUGUAUAUGUGUGUGUUAUUAUGCCUUGCUUUCUCCAUUGUAUUUUAACAAGGCACAAUAAGCUACCCAGUGUCAGAUUAAUUACUCACCCAGAAUAAUAAUGACUAAAUAAUCAGAAAGUUUUUAAAAAAUCAGGAGUUUUUCAGGGAAAACCACCAGAUGUAACUAAUAUAUACUGACCUGAAGUUUCUAUCAAGUAUCAACUGUUAAGACAGUGAAAAAGCUUUGCCAACAUGAUGCCAGAACAGCUGGAUUUAAAAAAAUGGUGCUGUCGAAGGAUCCAUCUGUUUUGUCUACACAGUAUGAACAGUCAUAUAUUCAGAAACACUGGGCUGGUUGGCACAGUAUAGACCAAACAUCGCAAAUUUAAAAGUUAUUUCAGAAUUAACAUCUGGAUAGUGGAACAUUUUUUUCUUUACAUCUGUAUGUUUGCAAGUUGCACAGACACAGCUCUGAUAUACAGGAUUACUAUUGCAUCUCUUGACAUUUUUGCCAUUUAUAGUUCUUUGAUAUUAUUGUCAUUUAAUCAUAUCUGCUGAAACCACAGUGUGGAAACAUGUAUCAGUGAAAAGCCAGAGAGAUGAAAAUUAAAUACAUUCGGAAAUACAAUCUUUUGUAUUUCCGAAUGAAUUUUAUUGAACAUUUUUAGAAAGGAAAUGGAAAAAAAAAUACCACAUGUACAGAUAACAUUUUGUUUCAAAGUUGUUUUCCUAGUUGUGUCAGUAUUUUGAACCUGGCAAUGAUAGCCAGAAUCCUGUUUUGGCAAAGUAAAUGUUUUAAUGCUGUUUGGGUAUAUGUAGAAAAAUGUUUUGAGAAAAUGUGAAAGACAGAGUUCUUUGAAUUUCCAUUAUUUCCUCAAGUUCUUGAUGACCUAUGCACAUUUACUUUAUUACCCUUAGAAGCAAGCCUGAAGAAUCUAACCUCGCACAAAGGAGAAUACAGUGUAAUUAGUGACAAUAGGUGGAUAAUAUGACAACUGGAGGGAAAAAUAAAUUUUCUGGCAUGAUUUUCUCUGCAGCAUUUUUUGUUUUUUUCCUACAAAGUAGCACUCCAUUAAAAUAAACUAUUUUUCUGAAGACUCAUUGCUAGACGAGAAAUUUCAGUCUACUUUCUUAUGUGCCUUAACUCUCUGUAGAAAAGUUAUUUUUAAAAUUUAAUACCAAGAAAAAAAUUCUUUGUAAUCCUGUAGUCUUUCCCAGGAGGAAAAAAAAAAUCUUUUAUUUCUUGUUCAGUAGUGACAUUUCUGAUGAAAGCAUUUGUUUCAGCCAAUUUAUUUUUGUAGCAAGCUUGAUUUUAUGUAGCAUCACAUGGCUCAGUUCAAUUGACAUCUUUUUUGGUGUGAGCAGGCACAUCUCCAGAACAAAACUAAGGCCCAACUUGAGAACUGAAUGCAGGUGUCUUCAACUGUGCAUUUAAAAUGUAGACGAUCCAAGACACACUGCUCAAAAUAUUACCACGAAUCCAGUAUAUCCAAGCUAUUCGCUUGGCAGAAGAGUAGCACAACCCUGUGCUGAACCCACUCUAGCAUGAGAUUUUAUUGAUGCAAUUGCCUGGAGUGCAUUGGGCCACUAUAUCCAUAAAAAUAAUAAUUAAGCUGUGGGAUGUAUUACAUUCCACGUCUUAGCACCUGAACUAUGCUCAGAGCAUUGAUUAAUAUUUCUAUUUAUGUCUCGUUUUCUGUUGUUGAGUAAGGUACCUACAGGCCAUCCAUCAUCUUUCAUUUCCAUUUUACUUUUAUCACUACCUCUAUUAAAAGGGAAUCAAGAAAGCAAUGGAGUUUCUUUUCUAAUAAAACAAUAGAACAGCCUAACUCCUGAGUGUGAUUGAAAUCUUCUAGGUUUAGUUGCAUUUUUAUUUGAAACUGAUGAGUUGUAGUCAUGCUCACUGAUUCCAUGCAUAGCAUGAUGAAAGGAGGAUGUGACUAACACACCAUACACAGUUUGUUUUUUAAGCAGCCUUCAUAACUCAACCUCUCAUGCAUUCAGGCAAUUCCUCACCGUAAUAGGACCAAAGGCAGUUCCCACCAGCAGAUCCUAGAUCUGGAAGCUAUCUUUCCCAGACCCUCCUGUAAACAGCUCUGAUGUAAAACUCAGACUGCCUGGCACCCUCCCACUCUGCUUGUACACAUUAAUAUUUCACUCUCCUACCUACCAUGUGAGUAUGGGGAACAACUGGAAGAAAAAUCCAUUCUGUGUCUAGUAGAUUGCCCAGACUGGCUAGAGCUCUAGAUGAAAUACUGAGAGGACGGUGACUACAGACUUUCCUUCUUCUCGAUCCUUGCUUUAAAAUUUCCCCAAUCAUCCACAACAGUGUAACCUGUAGAAUUUUCUUCCAAGUUUUGACACAGGACAGGGAGCAGUUAUAAAGAAAGCUGCCUUACUUGACAAGCAGUGUUUUGCAUUCCUUUUGAAGGCAAUGGGUGUGGCUCUCCAAGUCCAAGUCCACCCCGCGAAGAUGUAAAGCAGGAGGGAGGAGUAGGGAUGCUUGCAUGUUGCAUUUGAGGGGUGGAGUUUCAGCCAACAUCUAGGCUGGCUCAUCUGCAUUUUUGUUGUCUGAUAUUAGUCCAAAAAAGGCUAGAAGUUGCCAGCAGGAGCUUCAGAGGGAGUUGGGGAGAAUCACAGAAGCCAACUAAUUAACUCAGAUGAGUGCCUGGGACAGGAAGUCUACAGUAACUAAGCAGGACAAUUAGGGAUUGAGAACCAGGUAGCAAGGCUCUACAGGAUCAAGAAAUUAUGAAUUACUCAGAAAGGCAGACCUAAUAACAGCAGAUCCUGAAAAACAACAAAAAGAAACAUACAAACAAAACAAAGCGUUAACAGCCAAAGAGAGAACUUAUUGAGGACUUGAGAGAAAACAAGCAUCACCAGCAACUUCUUGAAUGUUUGCAAUAAUGAAAUUUUCUGAUCCCUGACAUCUGCCAUCUCAAUGUUUUGGUUGUUAUCACUGAGAAAGCCCCAGGGUGGGGAGGGUGAGCUGAGAAAAACAGAAGAGUCUUUUCAAAGCAGAGUAUCAUACCUCCCAGUAAGGGUGGGAAGAUCCAUAUUUUGAAUUUUUCCAGGUAUAAUCAUCAAUAGCAUCUCCCAUAACUC
rnacentral:lncRNA from 1 species